UCUUCUUCCUUCCAACUUCAUUUGUCAUGCCUUCUAGAAACCCUUCGGACACAACGAAUAUGAUGACGAGAUCGACAUGAAUCGCGGCGUUCCACCUUCAGACCCCAACCAUCUUUGUGUUCGCGCUUUGGAAUUCACGGAUUGCGUCUUGAAGAGUUCUUCAUCGCGAUUCGGAAGAAAUGGUAUCGUGACUUGCGAUUCGUUAAUGGAGCUCAAGGAUGCAAAGUCGCGUCUCAAGCUCAACAUUACGUUCAUGGAUAGUAAUGUGUUCCUUACUCGCUCACGAUUCACGUUCGUGGCAUCGCGUUCUGGCAUUCAUCACCAUCUGCUUCAACGUCGCAUGUUCCAACAUCCAUCAUCGUGACUUCGAACUCAGAAGCAAGGCGGUGCAUUUGCGAUUGCGUCACGGAGUUCUCCAUCGUAGAUUUACGGUCUUAGAACUGUGUAAUCCGUCGGUUUCACAUGAGAAUUCGCUUCACCGAUUCAAUGAUUCAACGCUCCAAUCGUCAAAUCCUGCUGUGGAAAAAUGGCGUCGAAAAAUAGAUCCAAGUCGUACCGGAUCAUUGCUUUGAUGGUGAAUUGCUUCUUCGAUGUGGUGCUGUUAGCAAGAAGUACUCUCAUUUUGGAAUUGGAAGAGGAUGGAGAUUGAAGCUCAUUCUGCCGGAUUGAAGGAUAUGGAGGAAUAUUGCAGAAGGUGAAUUGAAGAUUGCAGAAGGUGAAUUUGCUACCAAAUUGGGGAGAUUUUUGCAGAAUGAAUCAUGCCCCAGGUUGAAGAUAGGCGCGCCUCUUAUAUACAUCUUCGUUAUGUUUUCAAAUUCACAUGAAAUGGCUUCCAAAUUCUCCCUCAAAUUAAGAAAUUUGUUACAAGUUAGUUAUAGAUGCAAUUCCAAAUGAAAUGUUAAUUGUCAAUGGAAUCUCUUCUAAAUUCAGUUAGUUUUGAAAUGAAAUGAAAAUUAUAAACUGAAAUUUGAUGAGAUGCCUUUUGGUUAGUUAGUUAGGGAUAUUUUAGAGUCAGUUGAAUGAGUAUACAAUUUCGGUUAGGUUGUUAGCUGAUUUAGUUUGGAAUGGAGAGUUUUAAUUUCUGUUUGUUUUAAUUUCAGUUGCAGUUAGUGAAUUUGGGUAUUGACUCCGCCGAAAAUUUAGUCACCAAUAAUUCUGCCAGAUGAGGCAUGUACUAGUGAAAAAAAAUCUAUUAUUGCUUAUUUGCAGGUGUUCUGUUAGUGAACCAGUUCUACUUAUUUUGUUUAUUAAGUUCAAAUAGUUAUUUUGUUAAACUAAAAUUAAAAUAUCAAGUUUCUGUUAAGUGGUAUUGUUAGAUGUGGAUUGGAAGCGCAUUGGUGGAGCUGGAGUUGUCGCUAUUGUAUAUGCUUGGUUCAACUAUUUGUUUUUGUUUCGAAUGCUUGGUUAAUGAAUAAUGUGAGUUUAUUUUUUUAUGACUUGGUUUUGCAGAUCGGAUGCUAUGCGAUAUUAUUUGGAAAUAUGGUUGUGAUGACAUGAUGAUUGAACUGACCUAUGUUUACAUGGUUGUUGUAUGUAUGGUUCAUUGGCUUUGAGAGACAUUGGUUAUCAUGGAGCAAGGUUUGGUUUUACAUGGUUUGCUUGUGAUUUGACCAUGGAGCUGAUUUGGCAUGGAUCAUUGCUUGGAAUUAAUUUUUGGGAUGUAGGAUAUUCUUUUGGGUUUAUGUUUGAAUGGUGUAAUUUAGAAUUUGUUGUAAUUUGGAAGUGUAAUGGUGCAAUCAUGGUUACGCUUAAAUGAAUGUGGUUAUGUAUUUUGAUUUGAGUGAGAAAUGUGAAUUUCUAAUGAUUUGGGAAUGUUGGUUUUCAAAUAGCUUUUGUAUUGACAAUGGUUAUGAGAUGAAGAUAGUUAUUUGAAAUGUA